rnacentral:rRNA from 1 species
AUGAACGCUGGCGGCGUGCCUAAUACAUGCAAGUCGAGCGAACGGACGAGAAGCUUGCUUCUCUGAUGUUAGCGGCGGACGGGUGAGUAACACGUGGAUAACCUACCUAUAAGACUGGGAUAACUUCGGGAAACCGGAGCUAAUACCGGAUAAUAUUUUGAACCGCAUGGUUCAAAAGUGAAAGACGGUCUUGCUGUCACUUAUAGAUGGAUCCGCGCUGCAUUAGCUAGUUGGUAAGGUAACGGCUUACCAAGGCAACGAUACAUAGCCGACCUGAGAGGGUGAUCGGCCACACUGGAACUGAGACACGGUCCAGACUCCUACGGGAGGCAGCAGUAGGGAAUCUUCCGCAAUGGGCGAAAGCCUGACGGAGCAACGCCGCGUGAGUGAUGAAGGUCUUCGGAUCGUAAAACUCUGUUAUUAGGGAAGAACAUAUGUGUAAGUAACUGUGCACAUCUUGACGGUACCUAAUCAGAAAGCCACGGCUAACUACGUG